ensembl:lncRNA
GGUUAUACAACAGUGUGAGUGUGCUUAACGUCACAGAACUGUUCCCUUAAACACGGUUAAAAUGGUAAAUGUUACGUUAUAAGAUGGGGCUAGUGUGGUAAAGAACCUGUUGGCGAAUACAGGAGACCUAAGUGAUGUGGAAUUUUAUUCCUGAGUCAGGAAGAUCCCCUGCAGAAGGGCUUGGCAACCCACUCCAGUAUUCUUGCCUGGAGAGUCCCCAUGGACAGAGGAGCCUGGCGGGCUAUAGUCCAUGGGGUCACAAAGAGUCAAACACAACUGAAGCUGAAUGCAUGAACACACUGAAGAAGCUGAUAAGCAACUGACUUCCAUUUAGUUAUGUUAAGCAAGGUGGAAGGGAAGAAAUCCGCUUGGUGCCAUCAUGCUGGAGGUUUGCGGACAAAUCUCAGCUUAGAACCCAGGUGAACUGGCUCCCGACCCCAUACAGUGCCCUAGAGGCACUGUCAUUCCCCAGAGAGGAGCAGGUAGACGUCUGGGACAUGUCCAAGCUUUGGGCUCCUGAUGUAGGCCUUGGGAGAAGACACCUCUAAGGCGCCUUAGCUAGGCCUCUCCUCCCCUGACUGGAGCGUCUGAACUUACUAUGGGCAUUGAAAGUUACCAUUCCGCGGCCAAAAAGGGAUAAACUCAACUGGCUGUGAUUCAGGACUGAAAAAGGAAAGCUUCAUCUUCACCUGCGAGCAUCCUUUCACCUUCCUCCUCCACCCAGGAAAUGCAACGAACGCCGUCUCUGGGGUCGCACAGAGUCGGACACGACUGAAGCGACUUAGCAGCAGCAGCAACUGGGUCAGAGGUUUCUUUCCUCCCCACGCCCAUCCCACCUCCUAAUGCAGUGCAGGCGUGGAAGCGGUCCCUCCAGGCACUGAGAGGAGGGCUGACAUCAAUAGAACCCAACUAGCAAGGUUGUUCGGAGAAGGCAAUGACACCCCACUCCAGUACUCUUGCCUGGAAAAUCCCAUGGAUGGAGAAGCGACCAUGGGGUCGCUAAGAGUUGGACACGACUGAGCGACUUCACUUUCACUUUUCACUUUCAUGCAUUGGAGAAGGA